GGAGUUGUGGCUCAGUGGUAGAGAACUUGCCUGGCAUGUGUGAGGCCCUGAGUUCAAUCCUCAGCACCA
rnacentral:tRNA from 1 species